UAGGUUUUAAAUAUGGAACUU
rnacentral:piRNA from 1 species